GGCAGCAGUGGGGAAUAUUGCACAAUGGGCGCAAGCCUGAUGCAGCCAUGCCGCGUGUGUGAAGAAGGCCUUCGGGUUGUAAAGCACUUUCAGUCGUGAGGAAGGUAGUGUAGUUAAUAGCUGCAUUAUUUGACGUUAGCGACAGAAGAAGCACCGGCUAACUCCGUGCCAGCAGCCGCGGUAAUACGGAGGGUGCGAGCGUUAAUCGGAAUUACUGGGCGUAAAGCGCAUGCAGGUGGUUUGUUAAGUCAGAUG
rnacentral:rRNA from 1 species